UGAGACGUAUGUAAUAGAGUCUCGAGAGCAGCCGGCAAUCAGGAUCUGUGAUCGCUUCAGGUGCGAGCGCACGGGGUAUAAGAUAUUUAAUAAUUAUGUUGUUACCUGCCUUGGUGAUUGGCUCCCCGCGGCCGUCGCGCCGCCGUCGCCCUCGCUGGCCGUGCGCACCCGGCAGGAGCUGCACUUGGCGGCGGGCGGCGUGGCGGCCAGGCUGUCGGUGCGCGAGCGCCGCACCAGGCCGGUCUGGCUCGGCGGCAGGUUCACCAGGUGGUGGUGGCGGCGCGCGCCGGGGACGCUGAUGGGGUGCGUGGCCGACGAGCCCGACGACUGGCUCUUGCUACGCGGCCGGAACUCGAAGAGCUCCUUGAGCGCCUUCAUGGCCUCCAGGAUGGUCUCGUGGAUGCUCUGCGCCACCACCGAGUCGUCGGCCUGCAUCCACAGCUCGCCGGGGCCCGUGACGGCCGAGCGGCCCACCUCGAUGAAGAAGUAGCUGUCCGAGUGGCCGCAGCGCCGUAUGUUCAUGAGCUGCAGCGUCACCGACGGCUGCUCGCAGUUGAGCUUCACGAAGCCGAUGGAGCGCGCCGAGAGGCACAGGCGGUACACGCCCGUCAGGUUCUUGCUCUGGCCCAGGCCCUUGGGCUUCAGGUUCACCUGCCACACCUCCCGGUAGGCGGCCGCGGCGGGCGCCAGCAGCCCGUAGCUGUCAUCGGCCGAGCCGCCCAGGGCGCCGGGCAGGGAGGCGCUGCAGGACGCGGCGGCGGCGGCGGCCGGGGGCGCGUCGCCGGCGGCCGCGCGGCCCUCGCUGACCAGGUCGGUGAGCGCGCGGUACCAGCCCUCCUGCUCCUGCUCGUUCUCGGCCGCCACGGCGAAGUACUCGUCCUUGGUGUAGACGGCGAUCAGGUGGACGACCCCCUCACGCUGUCUCCGGGCUGCGCCAUGGACAGUCUCAGCCAUCGCGGGAAUUAUCCAAGGUCCUGAACACAAUCCCACGGGCUUCUCCAGUCUUGAAAUUUGAAGGUUCGCGCUCUCUCCUGGAUCUGCCCGGGCCAAGCCCCUGCUUGUGUGUGGUGUUUGAUGGACACCUGAGGUCUACGUGGCCUUGGCUUCACGUGCACACCACUGAGUUGCUUCCCAACGGCGCAGCAGAGCCUCUCUCUCCCAGUUGUCCCCAUCCCCGGGGCGACGUUGAGCACCUGUGCCUGACCCGCAGGGACUGACACCUCUGUGUUUUAAUCUGCUCCUCUUUGUUGGAGUGGUUUCGUGUGUGUGUACACGGAGUUUCUCUUGUACACAUCCAUUCGUAUAGCUUUGCUAGUUCUUUUCUUGUGUUGGUA
rnacentral:lncRNA from 1 species